UUUAAAUUGAGAGUUUGAUCCUGGCUCAGGAUGAACGCUGGUGGCGUGCCUAAUACAUGCAAGUCGUACGCUAGCCGCUGAAUUGAUCCUUCGGGUGAAGUGAGGCAAUGACUAGAGUGGCGAACUGGUGAGUAACACGUAAGAAACCUGCCCUUUAGUGGGGGAUAACAUUUGGAAACAGAUGCUAAUACCGCGUAACAACAAAUCACACAUGUGAUCUGUUUGAAAGGUCCUUUUGGAUCGCUAGAGGAUGGUCUUGCGGCGUAUUAGCUUGUUGGUAGGGUAGAAGCCUACCAAGGCAAUGAUGCGUAGCCGAGUUGAGAGACUGGCCGGCCACAUUGGGACUGAGACACUGCCCAAACUCCUACGGGAGGCUGCAGUAGGGAAUUUUCCGCAAUGCACGAAAGUGUGACGGAGCGACGCCGCGUGUGUGAUGAAGGCUUUCGGGUCGUAAAGCACUGU
rnacentral:rRNA from 1 species